AACCGAAAUCGAUGAACACCAGAACUUCCGCUACAUCUUUCUUUUAUUCUCAGACUUCUUCGACAACAGAAGAAAUAUGAGAGCUAAGUGGCGUAAGAAGCGUAUGCGUAGGUUGAAGCGUAAGCGCAGAAAGAUGCGUGCACGUUCCAAGUAAACUGCCUGAUUGAUCUAUAUUAGACAAGUACAAUGUUCUCUUUUGCAUUACGUUAAACCUAUAAAAUGGACAUCUUCAAGUUUUAAUUGUUGUUUCCCGGUUGUCUCAGAACUUGUUUUGCAGUAUGCCUGGAGGCAUUUUUCAACUACCUUUUUACACAUUCAUGUGCAAAAUUUGUUUUAAAAUAAAGAGUUAAUCUUUGGAUUAUUGCUUGGAGUGAACAAAACUAAAA